rnacentral:rRNA from 1 species
ACUCACCAGGUCAGGACACGGUAAGGAUUGACGGACUGAAGGCUCUUUCUCGAUUCCGUGGAAAGUGGUGCAUGGCCGUUUUUGGUUGGUGGAUCGAUCCGUCUGGUUAAUUCCGUUAACGAACGAGACCUCGGCACUCCGAAUAGCGCGGCGGACGUCGCGGCCUCCGGGCCGUCUUCCGCACGAGCUUCUUAGAGGGGACCGUCCCCCCGCCGGGGAAGGAGGUGCGAGGCAACGACAGGUCUGUGAUGCCCUUAGAUGUUCUGGGCCGCACGCGCAUUACACUGACGCGUCCAACGGGUGACUCCCGACCCGAAGGGGCCGGGGAAUCCGCAAGGCGCGUCGUGAUGGGGAUUGAACGUUGCAAUUGUUGUUCACGAACGAGGAAUUCCUAGUAGGCGCGGGUCAUCAACCCGCGCCGAUUACGUCCCUGCCCUUUGUACACACCGCCC